UGGCGUCUACUGGCGGCGGCGCCUUACCUCCCACUCGACUGGUCCAACCUCCAUGGAGGGCUUGGCGGUCGCCCUCAAUACCAUGACAAUCGAGCUGCUCGCUCUUCUUUUCUUUCAGAUCAAAGAUCAAAGAUGCCUUAACCCAAAGGCGCAGGUUCCUGCAGGUUAAGAUGGCAAGCCUGAAUAAAUACUCUGUCUGUACAGAGAAUGACACUGUGCUAACGCCAUCCAUCUUCGAUAUUUCUGUGGCAGUCAAAGAAGAUAUGUGUCAACGCAAAUGUUCUUUCGGUGAAAAUACAAGAAGAUUGGUGUCGAUCUUAACUGCGGUAGAAAUAAAACAUCUCCAUGGUGAUGCUUAUAAGUGCCUUAGAUGUUCGUAUAUAUUGGAUCAGCCUAAGGUAAUCUUUAUAAAUUAUUUUUCGACAUGAAUUUAACCAAUUGGUAUUUGUGUCUUUAAUGGAAGGUUCAUGGUACUUGCUUUAGGCUUAGGUUUGUUCUUUUUGGAGUAACAACUGCUAAAACUACAAUAGUUAGAUGGUCUAUGGACAUGAAAAUGGUAGCUAAGUUUUCAUUCCCCCUCCUCGCCAAUUAUAGCAGUAUAAAUGUGAAUGGACGGAGUUCAGCUAGAAUCUUAGCAGAUGAUAACUUCUUUUCCUCACAUUCAGCCGAUGCAUACAUAUGGAUAUGCCUUUGUAUAUGGGACCAGCCUAAGAAAUGUCAAAGUGCUCUCAACUUUUAGUUUAGAUACUUCCACUGGUGUACUAUGUUCGCUUCCAGCAUAUAGGCAACUUUCUAUGUUUUUGAUGGCAAGGUUUUAUCUAGAUGCACGUGUAUUCCCUAUACAAUUUUCUGUUGAUCAAAUCAAGCUAGCACCUAGCUUUCAUGUAUCCUGCAGUUUAUUAUAUACCGUCUUAAGUCUAAG